rnacentral:rRNA from 1 species
UCGACCUGAGAUCAGACGAGAUUACCCGCUGAAUUUA